AGCGUAGGUGGUUCGGUAAGUCAGAUGUGAAAGCCCGGGGCUCAACCCCGGGAUUGCAUUUGAAACUAUCGUACUAGAGUGCAGGAGAGGUAAGUGGAAUUCCUAGUGUAGCGGUGAAAUGCGUAGAUAUUAGGAGGAACACCAGUGGCGAAGGCGGCUUACUGGACUGUAACUGACACUGAGGCUCGAAAGCGUGGGGAGCAAACA
rnacentral:rRNA from 1 species